CGCGGGCUUACAAACUUUUAUUAUACCGGUUGGCGUGUGUUUGGGCGUCAAAACAGAAAUGCUGGUCGACGAAAACAUUGUGAAGAAGUCCGAGUGUCCUGGAUGAUGGCGGUGGUCGAUCAGUCCAGCUCUGUAACAGGCAGUUGUGUUCCCGGUUCAAAAUAAUAUUGAGAUAGCAGACUUUUAAGGUAAGUUUGUACAGUCAAGACAACUCCAGUGCAACAGAGUAAUACAGUGGCGUAGAAAAAUAUUUUUCAUUGGGGGCGAUGAUUUAGGG